CUGACCUAGUUUAUACCAGGUGAUUACAUUUCUAGGUUACUUUCAGUGGUUCAUAGUAAAGGCUAUAAAACCUAGCUGUGGAUACAAUCCACGAUGAUCUUGCACUGUUAAUGUAGGCAUAUCAAUAAACCAGAUUACAUGACAGGCCAGUGUUAAACACAUUUCUAGCCUCGAACGAUGAUAGAUCUAUUUGAAAACUGCCAGGAACGGUGCAGCUGUUUAAACUUUUUUCGCAACCUUUUCUCCACGUUACGCCCUCGCAAAUCGUCAAAAAACGUUCUUAAUAAAGCCUGCCCGAAACACUAAGUACAAGAGUGUUGUGGUUUCAAAGCAGUGAAGAAACUAAACGUUGGAAAAGAAAAAAGAAACAGGGUAACCCAGUUCGAACGAGAGGACGUGGUGUUUGUUUAUCGUAAAGGUACUGACAGGAGGCGUGACGAGGACGCUGAUCCAGUGGACCUGGUGCCAGUAAGUAUGGUCUUCACGGAGGCAAUAAGACCGUCCAGGAUAGAGAAAUCCUUCGACUUCACUGCCUUUUCAAUGACAACACCCCAUCCAAUGACUGUGAUCUGAGGACCCUUUUUGUUUUAGCAGCGAGGGAGUAACGUGCUUGGCCCUAACUACUGCGCCAAAUGUCUGGCCGUCAACCUCCCUCUCCUUAUGAUGUGCCAGUUGGGGUUGGUGCACUGUGCCAACUGUUGCCUGCCGUAUAGCAUCCUGCUGCUCCACCGACAGCGCCAUGCAUGCUCCAGGUGCCUUUAAAAAAUAUAUGUUUGGUACAGACAUGCCAUUCCACUGAACCUGCCCCAGAGAUGGUUCCUUAGUCACUGAAGAUCCUCCUCUGUGGGCUCUAGGGACAGAGACUUAGUCGUCUUUCGGCCAGGUAAAGAUCCUCCACUGACUGCAUCUGGUUGGGCACAAGUGGCUUCCUCCACUCACAUUAUACAGCCGAUAUUGUGAACCACAAAAAUAGCCAAUGCAGUUGCAUGGCUGCACUUAGGAGCUCCACAUGUGGUAGAGAGAAUCCCCUGGUCACCUAUAGAGACCUGCCAAGAGGAAAGUGCUAUAUGCAUGACUUUGAACACCUUGAAAUGCAUUUGUUGUAAGAAAUGUGCUAUAUUUAUUGAACAAAAAUAAAAAAAAUCAUACAAUUUCAACGAUUCUGAGUUACAGUUCAAAUAUAAGGAAAUCAUUGCAAUUGAAAUAGUCAUUAGGCCCUUCCCACAUGACUGGGAAGGGGCGCAGCCUUGGGUGGGCCUGGGAGGGCCCACCCAUGGCCCUCCCACCCAUGUGAGGAGAUUCAUGGGUGGGCCUGGGAGGGCAUAGGCCCAGCCAAUCAGAAUGAGUUUUUCCCCACAAAAGGGCAUUAUUACAGACAGAAAUACUCCCCAGUAUCAUCAGCUGUAGAAAAGUCAGCAAAUUCACAUGCAAUAAGUAAAUGUUAAUCUACUGACUGGUUUAUGCUACAGAGUGGACAGUGUUGUCCCCAGUGACACCAGUUUGAUUAUUUGAAGCUUAAUGUUUGAGAUUUCAUCCCAGCAUUUAGAAUGUGAGGUUCUGAGGCUUAUAAUUUUCAUGUUCAUGGUCUCAGACGAUCCCACAGAUGAAGAAGCUGGAAGUGGAGGUCCUGGGCUGUCCUGGUUACACAUGGUCUGUGGAUGUGAGGCCAGUUGGAUGUACUGCCAAAUUAUCUUACAAAGUUGGAGGCGGCUUAUGGUUUUAUUGUCCCCAGCACAAGGUGCACCUGUGUAAUGGUCAUGCCGUUUAAUCAGCUUGAUAUGCCACACCUGUCAGGUGGAUGGAUUAUAUUGGCAAAGGAAAAAUGCUCACCAACAUGGAUGUAGACAAAUUUGUACACAUUUUGUGCAUAAUGGAACAUUUCUGGGAUCUAUUAUUUCAGCUCAUGAAACAUGGGACUAACACUUUACAUGUUGCCUUUUAUAUUUUUAUUCAGUAUAAAGUUAUUUGAUUGAUUGACAUUACAGCUGUAAAAUAUUUAACAAGUGCAGUUGUUCCAUAAACGUUCAAUUGAGAACUUGGGAUUGUAUCACUUGACAUACCAUACACUGUGAAGGAUCCUAUAAAUCAAGACUGAAUGCAUGUGGCACUCUGAAUAAAUAAAUACUGUGACUUUGAAGAUUUGUCUCUGGUUAUGCAACAACAAUACAGGCUGGAUGUUUAAAAGUCAAUAAUUCUGAAUGUCAAUAGAUUAUUAGAUAAAUUCUCAUCAAAUGACAACAUUCUAGAAUUGCAUUAUCACUCAUCUAAGUCAGACCUGGGGAAAUCUGGUUGAUGAUUAUAUAAUUGAUUUUCUUUCCUUGUAGAAUGUUGACAGUAUAGAAAACAUUGUAUUGCUAAGAUUCUCAAACUUAAACCUCUACAGGAUCAGUGUCCCGACCUCGGGUCGGUUGAGCUAAAGUAGGCUAAUGUGAUUAGCAUGAGGUUGUAAGUAACAAGAACAUUUCCCAGGACAUAGGCAUAUCUGAUCUGGGCAGAAAGCUUAAAUGAUUGUUAAUCUAACUGCACUGUCCAAUUUGCAGUAGCUAUUUCAGUGUAGAAUACCAUCCUAUUGUUUGAGUGCACAAUUAUGAACUUAAAUUUAUGAAUAAACCAAUUAGGCACAUUUGGCCAGUCUUGAUACAUAUUUAAUAGAUAUGCAAUAGUUCAUUGGAUCAGUCUAAAACUUUGCACUGCUAUACAGUGGCCAA